GUGUGUUCCAGGUAAAUCCGGUUCACUUUAACACUGAGGCGUGACGACGAGGCACUACGGUGCUGAAGCAACAAAUGCCCUGCUUCCAGGAAAAGCCUCUAAGCAUCAGGUAACGUCAAAUCGUACCCCAAACCGACACAGGUGGUCAGGUAGAGAAUACCAAGGCGCUUGAGAGAACUCGGGUGAAGGAACUAGGCAAAAUGGUGCCGUAACUUCGGGAGAAGGCACGCUGACACGUAGGUGAAGUGAUUUACUCACGGAGCUGAAGUCAGUCGAAGAUACCAGCUGGCUGCAACUGUUUAUUAAAAACACAGCACUGUGCAAACACGAAAGUGGACGUAUACGGUGUGACGCCUGCCCGGUGCCGGAAGGUUAAUUGAUGGGGUCAGCGCAAGCGAAGCUCCUGAUCGAAGCCCCGGUAAACGGCGGCCGUAACUAUAACGGUCCUAAGGUAGCGAAAUUCCUUGUCGGGUAAGUUCCGACCUGCACGAAUGGCGUAAUGAUGGCCAGGCUGUCUCCACCCGAGACUCAGUGAAAUUGAACUCGCUGUGAAGAUGCAGUGUACCCGCGGCAAGACGGAAAGACCCCGUGAACCUUUACUAUAGCUUGACACUGAACAUUGAGCCUUGAUGUGUAGGAUAGGUGGGAGGCUUUGAAGUGUGGACGCCAGUCUGCAUGGAGCCGACCUUGAAAUACCACCCUUUAAUGUUUGAUGUUCUAACGUGGACCCGUGAUCCGGGUUGCGGACAGUGUCUGGUGGGUAGUUUGACUGGGGCGGUCUCCUCCUAAAGAGUAACGGAGGAGCACGAAGGUUGGCUAAUCCUGGUCGGACAUCAGGAGGUUAGUGCAAUGGCAUAAGCCAGCUUGACUGCGAGCGUGACGGCGCGAGCAGGUGCGAAAGCAGGUCAUAGUGAUCCGGUGGUUCUGAAUGGAAGGGCCAUCGCUCAACGGAUAAAAGGUACUCCGGGGAUAACAGGCUGAUACCGCCCAAGAGUUCAUAUCGACGGCGGUGUUUGGCACCUCGAUGUCGGCUCAUCACAUCCUGGGGCUGAAGUAGGUCCCAAGGGUAUGGCUGUUCGCCAUUUAAAGUGGUACGCGAGCUGGGUUUAGAACGUCGUGAGACAGUUCGGUCCCUAUCUGCCGUGGGCGCUGGAGAACUGAGGGGGGCUGCUCCUAGUACGAGAGGACCGGAGUGGACGCAUCACUGGUGUUCGGGUUGUCAUGCCAAUGGCACUGCCCGGUAGCUAAAUGCGGAAGAGAUAAGUGCUGAAAGCAUCUAAGCACGAAACUUGCCCCGAGAUGAGUUCUCCCUGAGACUUAGAGUCUCCUGAAGGAACGUUGAAGACGACGACGUUGAUAGGCCGGGUGUGUAAGCGCAGCGAUGCGUUGAGCUAACCGGUACUAAUGAACCGUGA
rnacentral:rRNA from 1 species